rnacentral:rRNA from 1 species
UGGGGAAUAUUGGACAAUGGGCGAAAGCCUGAUCCAGCCAUGCCGCGUGUGUGAAGAAGGUCUUCGGAUUGUAAAGCACUUUAAGUUGGGAGGAAGGGCAUUAACCUAAUACGUUAGUGUUUUGACGUUACCGACAGAAUAAGCACCGGCUAACUCUGUGCCAGCAGCCGCGGUAAUACAGAGGGUGCAAGCGUUAAUCGGAAUUACUGGGCGUAAAGCGCGCGUAGGUGGUUUGUUAAGUUGGAUGUGAAAUCCCCGGGCUCAACCUGGGAACUGCAUUCAAAACUGACUGACUAGAGUAUGGUAGAGGGUGGUGGAAUUUCCUGUGUAGCGGUGAAAUGCGUAGAUAUAGGAAGGAACACCAGUGGCGAAGGCGACCACCUGGACUAAUACGGACACUGAGG